CAAGGGGACAGAAGAAGGAAGUCUCCGGUCUGCUUUGGUGGAGCUCCAAUUUUCACCAUCACCUUUGGACAUCAGUCUCCAGGCUCCCAGCACAGACCCACCUAUUUCCUGCUUGAGACUCACAGAGUCUCUGUGGUGAGCUCCAGGCCUCUGACUUUUGACUGAUCCUUGGUUCUGCAGCAUAUAGAUGGCCCUUUUGGAUUCCUCCACGCCCGAUUUUGCAGGCAGCCACUGUUCUCUCAUCCUCUGUCCAUACGUAAACAAGUCAAGUAUUCUCAGAAUAUUUUUUGCUCCACGUGGAGUGAAUUGGUGGAGGUGAAGAGGAGCUGCCAUCCAUAGAGAAGUCCACUGACUAUGAUUCCUGAAGGGAAGGACCAGAGUUUGCUUACGUCUCUGUUGCCUAACCCACAGGCACUCUCAAUGGACUUUUCUGGGGGGAAAAAUGAGAAAUACCUCUGAGGUGUGAACUGGAGCCAGCAAUCAGGUAAGGCAAAUUGUGGGAAAGUCUAGGUCUGAAGGCUGUGCCACACCUGGCAGUGAUGACACCUGUUCCGCAGUGGACUGAGCAGCCAGGACACUGCAGACCCCGAGGGUACACAUGGCACUGUUCUGCCAUGGCAGCUCUCCAAGCUGACCCUGAACUUGCCCUCCCUGUAACUCUUGGGGAGAAAAAAUGUUUUGAAAUCAACUAAUAGCUUAUGAGGUCUCAAAAUUGCAAAAGAAGGGAGAUUCUUCCAAACCAUCUUGCGUGGCCACAAUGGAUUUCUGAGCCUGACGAUACCGCCAGAGGAGAGGAAAGUCUGCCAGGGCCUGACGUUUCUACACAGUGAGGCUAGAACAAUAAACAGUGUGCUCAGCAGGCAGAAAGAUGGCCUGGAUUUGGGUUUCUCGUGUUUCCAUCCAAAUGCUGUCCUGCAAGCCCCAGCUCACAGUCUGUUUGUCUGCUGUGAGCCCUGGAGCUGGCCCUGACCUCUGGGAGUCAUGCAGAGAUUCCUGGGCCUGACAACAAGGUGACAGUAAAUAUCUCUGUGGCAUAGAGAACAGUGAAACACAAUGUGAGCCAGAAACUGCUUUGAACCAAUUGGAAUGAAGCCAGGGAUGUGAGGCGGGCAGCCGAGCACUGGAAGAGAGAAUGUGUAUGUUUGAGCUCACAGCGCUGGACAGAGAUUUGGUCCAGGCCCAUUUUAGCAGCCACUUUCAAGCUUUGUCUGUAUGCUGCCUUCUCUG